rnacentral:rRNA from 1 species
CAUGGAGGGUGAGAAUCCCGUCCGGUUGACCUCAGGAUGCUCUACGUUAACGCAUUCUAAGAGUCGAGUUGUUUGGGAUUGCAGCUCAAAAUGGGAGGUAAAUUUCUCCUAAGGCUAAAUACAGGCGAGAGACCGAUAGCGAACAAGUACCGUGAGGGAAAGAUGAAAAGAACUUUGAAAAGAGAGUUAAACAGCACGUGAAAUUGUUGAAAGGGAAACGAUUGAAGCCAGUCGUACUGACGGGAAAUCAACUUCUCGAGUGCUUGUCGUGAAUGACGUUGAGCUUCACGGCCUGCGUUGCUUGCGUUAUGGUGCUUUUAAGGUGUACUUUUCCGUAUGGUAAGUCAACAUCGAUUUUGAUCGUCAUAAAAUGAUCGGAGGAAUGUGGCUCUGAUCUUGUAUCGGAGUGUUAUAGCCUUUGGUAGAUGUGACGAUUGGGAUCGAGGAUUGCAACGAAUACCCUUUGGGCUAUCCGUCUGACCUCUGAAAGUCGCUCGGGUGUCGAAAGCGUGCUUAUGACAUUCUAGUUGGCGGUCAAAAGGUUAGAACGUGAUUACAUUCGUUAAGGAUGUUGACGUAAUGG